rnacentral:rRNA from 1 species
UCGGGGAUAGCCUUUCGAAAGAAAGAUUAAUAUCCGAUAGCAUAUAUUUCCCGCAUGGGUUUUAUAUUAAAGAAAUUCGGUAUGAGAUGGGGAUGCGUUCCAUUAGUUUGUUGGGGGGGUAACGGCCCACCAAGACUACGAUGGAUAGGGGUUCUGAGAGGAAGGUCCCCCACAUUGGAACUGAGACACGGUCCAAACUCCUACGGGAGGCAGCAGUGAGGAAUAUUGGUCAAUGGACGCGAGUCUGAACCAGCCAAGUAGCGUGAAGGAUGACUGCCCUAUGGGUUGUAAACUUCUUUUAUAUGGGAAUAAAGUGGUCCACGUGUGGACUUUUGUAUGUACCAUAUGAAUAAGGAUCGGCUAACUCCGUGCCAGCAGCCGCGGUAAUACGGAGGAUCCGAGCGUUAUCCGGAUUUAUUGGGUUUAAAGGGAGCGUAGGCGGAUUGUUAAGUCAGUUGUGAAAGUUUGCGGCUCAACCGUAAAAUUGCAGUUGAUACUGGCAGUCUUGAGUGCAGUAGAGGUGGGCGGAAUUCGUGGUGUAGCGGUGAAAUGCUUAGAUAUCACGAAGAACUCCGAUUGCGAAGGCAGCUCACUGGAGUGUAACUGACGCUGAUGCUCGAAAGU